rnacentral:misc_RNA from 1 species
CUGGAACAAACGCCCUCACGGGUGCUACCCAGAAACCCUUUGUGAAUACUACCUAAAAUGUUGCCUCGGCAUUGGUUGGCCUCUUUGAGGUCCCUUUCCCUCGGGGAAGGAGCAGACCGGCCGGUGGCCCUAUAAACUCUUGUUUUUGUAAUAUCAUCUGAGUAAAAAACAUAAAUAAAUCAAAACUUUAAACA